rnacentral:tRNA from 1 species
AGCGCGGUACGCAAACAGGAAAAGCGGCGAAGCUUAGAACUUCGUGACUGAGUGUGGGUUCGAUUCCCACCCGUGCUAC